rnacentral:rRNA from 1 species
UUUGAUCAGAAGUGAGAAUGUUGACAUGAGUAGCGACAAACAGGGUGAGAGACCCUGUCGCCGAAAGUCCAAGGGUUCCUGCUUAAAGCUAAUCUGAGCAGGGUAAGCCGGCCCCUAAGGCGAGGCAGAAAUGCGUAGUCGAUGGGAACCACGUUAAUAUUCGUGGGCCAGAAGGAAGUGACGGAUCUCGAAGAUUGUUCGCCCUUAUCGGAUUGGGCGGGCCGUUUAGAGGUUCCUGGAAAUAGCCCUUCAUCAGACCGUACCCUAAACCGACACAGGUGGACUGGUAGAGAAUACCAAGGCGCUUGAGAGAACCACAUCAAAGGAACUCGGCAAAAUGCCUCCGUAAGUUCGCGAGAAGGAGGCCCCAUCUUUAGGCAACUAGAGGUGGGGGGCACAGACUAGGGGGUGGCGACUGUUUACUUAAAACACAGGGCUGUGCGAAGUCGCAAGACGACGUAUACAGUCUGACGCCUGCCCGGUGCUGGAAGGUUAAGAGGAGAGGUGCAAGCUUUGAAUUGAAGCCCCAGUAAACGGCGGCCGUAACUAUAACGGUCCUAAGGUAGCGAAAUUCCUUGUCGGGUAAGUUCCGACCUGCACGAAUGGCGUAACGAUCUCCCCGCUGUCUCUGAUGUGACUCAGCAAAAUUGAACUGUGUGUCAAGAUGCACACUACCCGCGGUUAGACGGAAAGACCCCAUGCACCUUUACUAUAGCUUCGCACUGGCAUCAGGAUUGAGAUGUGCAGGAUAGGUGGUAGGCUUUGAAGCGGGAACGCCAGUUUCCGUGGAGCCCCCCUUGAGAUACCACCCUUCGCACUCUUGAUGUCUAACCGCGGUCCGUUAUCCGGAUCCGGGACCCUGCGUGGUGGGUAGUUUGACUGGGGCGGUCGCCUCCUAAAGAGUAACGGAGGCGCGCGAAGGUUGGCUCAGAGCGGUCGGAAAUCGCUCGUUGAGUGCAAUGGCAGAAGCCAGCCUGACUGCAAGUCUGACAAGACGAGCAGAGACGAAAGUCGGCCAUAGUGAUCCGGUGGUCCCAAGUGGGAGGGCCAUCGCUCAACGGAUAAAAGGUACGCUGGGGAUAACAGGCUGAUGAUGCCCAAGAGUCCAUAUCGACGGCAUCGUUUGGCACCUCGAUGUCGGCUCAUCUCAUCCUGGGGCUGGAGCAGGUCCCAAGGGUAUGGCUGUUCGCCAUUUAAAGAGGUACGUGAGCCGGGUUUAGAACGUCGUGAGACAGUUCGGUCCCUAUCUGCCGUGGGUGUAGGAGAUUUGAGAAGAGUUGCCCCUAGUACGAGAGGACCGGGGUGAACGAACCACUGGUGGACCAGUUAUCGUGCCAACGGUAGUGCUGGGUAGCUAUGUUCGGACAGGAUAACCGCUGAAGGCAUCUAAGCGGGAAGCCCCCUUCAAAACAAGAUCUCCCUUGAGAGCCGUGGAAGACCACCACGUCGAUAGGCCAGAGAUGUAAGUGCGGUAACGCAUUCAGUUGACUGGUACUAAUUGCCC